UACGUAGGGUGCGAGCGUUAAUCGGAAUUACUGGGCGUAAAGCGUGCGUAGGCGGUUCGUUAAGUGCGUCGUGAAAGCCCCGGGCUCAACCUGGGAAUGGCGAUGGAAACUGGCGGGCUGGAGUAUGGCAGAGGGGGGUGGAAUUCCGCGUGUAGCGGUGAAAUGCGCAGAUAUCCGGAGGAACACCGGUGGCGAAGGCGGCUUCCUGGACCGACACUGACGCUGAGGCGCGAAAGCUAGGGGAGCAAACGGG
rnacentral:rRNA from 1 species